GAGGUCGGAAAUUGGCUUGUUCAACUGUGCAGCUUCCUGUUGGCUGCAGGGAAGUGCAGAGCCAGAAGGGUGGCCCACCCUAAGCAAGUAUGUGACCCUUCAGGGAAGUGUUCCUGCCUCUGCACUUGCCCUUUCUCUCCUCCUUCGGCCUUAUCUAUCGCAUCUACUUCCUGUUAUCUGGCAGCAGGGUUUAUAUCUUUGUAAGUCAUCUGAAAGAAUGUUUUCAACAACUAGGAGGUUUAACAAGGAAAAUGUUCAUCUCUGUAUUCCUAGGGCUUAAACACAGCUCUGAUACCUGGUGCUGUCAGAAGUGUGUGUGAUAUCCCAUCUCCUCUAAUUCUGAUGAUUUCCUCUAUGCAGCAAAGGAAACGGAGGUUUGGAAAUAUCCAGUAACUUGCUAGCACAAGGUCAGGUCAUAUAGCUGUUACAAAUGGCUUGCAGACACAUCCACAGUUCUGGCUGGCCACACUUUUCCCCAGUGACUCUCCUUGCUGCCACAGUGGGGUUCCUAACCUUUUGUGUGUCAUGCACCCCAUUGGGAGUCUGGUUGUAAUUUCCUUGGGAGCCAUGAACUGUGAUUGUUUCACAACUGGAUCCUCUGAGCCAAGCUCAAGGUGCUAGGCUCUGACCUUAGCCUUCUGCUGACAACACUGAGCACAGCUUCACAGAUGACACUGAGCCUCAUGGGACCCAGUUAGAGUAAGACUACAGUUGGCAUUUUAAGGACAUGCUUUUUCACUGUCUUUCUUCUUUUUUCACUCACUU